GGUUUUGUAGUGUAGCGGUUAUCACUCCGGAUUCUGAUUUAUCUUCAGUAUCUUCCGGCAACCCCGGUUCGAUUCCGGGCAAGACCU
rnacentral:tRNA from 1 species